rnacentral:rRNA from 1 species
CGGAGGAUCAUUAACGAGUUUUGAAAUGGGUUGUAGCUGGCCUAAAAAAAUAAAGGCAUGUGCACACCCUGCUCAUCCACUCUCAUACCCCUGUGCACUUAUUGUAGGCUUGGUGGGACGAGUCUGACUUCGGUUGGACUUUGAAAGCCUUGCCUACGUUUUAUUACAAACGCUUCAGUUAAAGAAUGUAACCUCGCGUUUAACGCAUUUAAAUACAACUUUCAGCAACGGAUCUCUUGGCUCUCGCAUCGAUGAAGAACGCAGCGAAAUGCGAUAAGUAAUGUGAAUUGCAGAAUUCAGUGAAUCAUCGAAUCUUUGAACGCACCUUGCGCUCCUUGGUAUUCCGAGGAGCAUGCCUGUUUGAGUGUCAUGGUAUUCUCAACCUUCAAAACUUUUGUGAUGAAGGCUUGGAUUUGGAGGUCGUGUCGGCGCGAGUCGACUCCUCUGAAAUGCAUUAGCGUGAAUCUUACGGAUCGCCUUCAGUGUGAUAAUUGUCUACGCUGUGGUGUUGAAGUAUUUGAGUGUUCGUGCUUACAAUCGUCCGCUAGGACAAUGUUACUUGACAAUCUGACCUCAAAUCAGGUAGGACUACCCGCUGAACUUAAGCAUAUCAAUAAG